CUCUGUGUCGACUCUCUGUCGCUCGCUCAGCCCUCUCCCCUUUUGCAAUUUCCCACUUUUCUCUUCGCCUCCUCCUCCUUCUUCUUCUUCAAGAUCGAUCCCCUCUCCCCCUCUCUCUCCCUCCGAGCUUCUUCAAUGGAGGAUCCGAAGACGACGGUCGGCGGCGACGACCCCCUCUUUCCUCCGAACUUCGUCACCAUCCACCAACUCCGGGAGCAAUGGCUCCACCGACGGCGUCCGCCGCCGCCGCCGCAGCAGCAGCCAAGGCAGAAGCAGCUCGAGGCGCGGCGGCGAUCGCCCCCGGGAGAACCGCCGCAGCCGCCGUUCCCGGGUCCAGCGCGAAAGGACCCGCGGAAACAGCCGGAACAAGAGCUUCCGCGACGGGAGACCGAUUUUGAGCGCGAGAGCGUGCGGGCGGGCCCGAGGAAGGAGUCCGAUUCUCGACCUUCUCCUGCUGAUUGUUAUGCCGUUCGGCGCAAUGCGAGCGUCGAGGAGGGAAGCGACGGUCGUCGGGCGAUCGGCUCGAGCGGUCCGAAGCCGUCGGAGAAAUCGAGCCGUGGCGAGUGCGCGGGUUCCGGCGCCGACGAGAAAGCGGAAUCGGCCUUGGUGAAGGACCAGCGAAAGCCGCCAGAACGAGAGCUUCCGCGAGGCGAACCUGAUAUCGAUCGCGAGAGCGUGAAGGCGAGCCCGAGGAACGGGUGCGAUUCUCGACCUUGUCCUGCUAUUUACUGGGCCGUUCGACGCAAUGGGAGCGUCAAGGAGGGAAGCGGUGGUCGUCGGGCGGUCGACUCGAGCGGUCCGAAGCCCUCGGAGAAAUCGAGCCGCGGCGAGCGCGCGGGUUUCGGCGCCGACGAGAAAGCGGAAUCGGCCUUGGUGAAGGACCAGCGAAAGCAGCCAGAACAAGAGCUUCCAAGAGGCGAACCUAAUACCGAGCGCGAGAGAGUGAAGAAAGAGGCCGAUUCUCGACCUUCGCCUGCUAAUCGUCGGGGGGUUCGACGCAAUACGAGCGUCAAGGAGGGAAGCGGUGGUCGUCAGGCGAUCGACUCGAGCGGUCCGAAACCCUCGGAGAAAUCGAGCUCCAGUGAAUACGCGGGUUCCGGCGCCGACGAGAAAGCGGAAUCGGCCUUGGUGAAGGACCAGCGAAAGCAGCCAGAACAAGAGCUUCCAAGAGGCGAACCUAAUACUGAGCGCGAGAGAGUGAAGAAAGAGGCCGAUUCUCGACCUUCGCCUGCUAAUCGUCGGGGGGUUCGACGCAAUACGAGCGUCAAGGAGGGAAGCGGUGGUCGUCAGGCGAUCGACUCGAGCGGUCCGAAGCCCUCGGAGAAAUCGAGCUCCAGUGAAUACGCGGGUUCCGGCGCCGACGAGAAAGCGGAAUCGGCCUUGGUGAAGGACCAGGGAAAACGGCCAGGAAAAGAGCUUCGGCGAGGAGAAAACAACACCGAGGGCGAGAGGGUGAAGGCGAGUCCGAGGAACGAGUCCGAUUCUCGACCCUCUACUGCUGUAUGUUGGGCCGUUCGACACAAUACGAGCUUCAGGGAGGGAAGUGAUGGUCGUCGGGCGAUCGGCUUAAGCGGUCCGAAGCCCUCGGAGAAAUCGAGCCGUGGUGAAUACGCCAGUUUCGGCGCCGACGAGAAAGCGGAAUCGACCUUGGUGGCCGUGGUUUCCGUCGUUGCCCAGAGUGCCGAGCAGGUGAAGAAGACCGAGGAGUGGGAGAAGAAGAAGAAAAAGAAGAAGAAGAAUAAGAACAAGAGCGGAAGGGAGAGAGAUAGGAGGUUAAAUAAGGGCAUAGUUAGGGCAAAGGAAAAGGGGGUGAAGCCGGAGGAAGGUGAAGCGAACGAGCCAGCAGAGGAGAUCAAGAAGGAGAAGUUCCAGUGUGCCAGUUCUGAGGACCAGAAUGUGAUGCUGGAGAGCAGGGAAGUGCGAGUAGAGGCUAAGCCGGAGGAAGGUGUAGUGCACACGCCGGCAGAGGAGGCGAAGAAGUUGUUUCAGCAUGCCGGUUCUGAGAGUGAGAAUGCGAUGCCGGAGAGCGAGGAAGUGCAAGUGGAGGUUGAGAAUGCUGCUGCGAAUGCUAGCCAUGGGAGGGCAAAAGUUGAGGGUUUGAAUAAACAAGUAUGGGUUAUCAAUUCAAAGGUGGGGAACGAAAGAGAAUUGAGGAACUUGUCAUUGCAGUAUGACAGCAAAAAGGGCGGUUUCCAGUCGGGGAGAUCUAAUCGUCGAGAUCAUAAGGGUUACGGCGAAGGUAUUUGGCAACAGCGUAGAGUGAGAGAGCAGAGUAGUAACGUGGUUUGGGUUAGGAAAGAAGAUAUGUCUGAUGGUCAUGCCGGCGAAAGUUCGAGUUGAGCUGGUUCUUUGACCCCAUUGGCUUUGUUUUUCAUCUGCGCUUUGUGCACAGGUUUGCCGGAAGUGCUGGAGGAGGAAAGGAUAGGGGAGAGACACUUGGUAGAAGCAAGAGUUAACGUGGAAUGUGAUUCAUUGAGCCGAUUCUCUGUACUGUUUUGGAUCAUUCUGGCAUAUUCUUGCCUGUAUAUACUCAGUCAUCUCAGCUCACUUUGUGAUGGGUGCCGAUGUUCAUCGUCGUGCUUCUGCUGAGAACCUAAGUUAUACGUCCUAAGCCACUGAUGUUUUUCCUUUUCUGUGCCUUUUCAUGAUUCCUGUGAGGGCGAAUUCAUGUGAAAUCAGAAGAAUUUGAGUGCAGCUA